rnacentral:rRNA from 1 species
UUGACGGGACCGCACAAGCGGUGGAUGAUGUGGUUUAAUUCGAUGCAACGCGAAAACCUUACCCACCUUUGACAUGGCAGGAAUCCCGAAGAGAUUUGGGAGUGCUCGAAAGAGAACCUGCACACAGGUGCUGCAUGGCUGUCGUCAGCUCGUGUCGUGAGAUGUUGGGUUAAGUCCCGCAACGAGCGCAACCCUUGCCAUUAGUUGCUACGAAAGGGCACUCUAAUGGGACUGCCGGUGACAAACCGGAGGAAGGUGGGGAUGACGUCAAGUCCUCAUGGCCCUUAUAGGUGGGGCUACACACGUCAUACAAUGGCCGGUACAGAGGGUAGCCAACCCGCGAGGGGGAGCCAAUCCCACAAAGCCGGUCGUAGUCCGGAUCGCAGUCUGCAACUCGACUGCGUGAAGUCGGAAUCGCUAGUAAUCGCGGAUCAGCAUGUCGCGGUGAAUACGUUCCCGGGUCUU